AGAUGAAAGCAGCAAGAGCUGAUUAGAAGGGAUCUGGCACCAACAGGACAGUAGCAACAGGGAAGUAGGCAGGUACAGUUGAAGCAUGAACAUAGGAACUACUCACUUAACUUUAUCUGAUCAUCAGUGACAGUAUGAUAAGGGAAGAACAGGUGGCAGAAGAACUUGGGGAUAUGAUAAUCCAGACAGAAAACAGAGAUGAAUCCAGAAAUAGAUAAAUGUUUAUAUGGCUGUCAGAAAAUAUUGUCCGCUGAUCGUAACAAUGACACAUUACUAAUGUGCUCUGUGUCAUGAGGAUUCUGAAUGACAAAGAAAGUGAAUACAAACCAUGCAACACUACAGCUUGUUAAACAAAAGGAAAAAGCAAACAAGAAAUCAAAAUGCCUAAAGCAAA